GGGCCCGCACAAGCGGUGGAGCAUGUGGUUUAAUUCGAUGAUACGCGAGGAACCUUACCAGGGCUUAAAUGUAAGUUGCAUAAGUUAGAGAUAGCUUUUUCUUCGGACUACUUACAAGGUGCUGCAUGGUUGUCGUCAGCUCGUGCCGUGAGGUGUCAGGUUAAGUCCUAUAACGAGCGCAACCCCUGUUGUUAGUUGCCAUCGAGUAAUGUCGGGAACUCUAACAAGACUGCCGGUGCAAACCGUGAGGAAGGUGGGGAUGACGUCAAAUCAUCACGGCCCUUACGUCCUGGCUACACACGUGCUACAAUGGCCGGUACAGAAAGUUGCAAUUCCGCGAGGAGGAG
rnacentral:rRNA from 1 species